rfam:Proteobacteria bacterium CG1_02_64_396 cg1_0.2_scaffold_453_c, whole genome shotgun sequence.
GUCCCCAUCGUCUAGAGGCCUAGGACACUGCCCUUUCACGGCGGCAACACCGGUUCGAAUCCGGUUGGGGACG